rnacentral:rRNA from 1 species
UCAAGCUAAUAAGAGCACAGGGUGGAUGCCCAGGCACCAAACGCCGAUGAAAGACGUGGCAAGCUGCGAAAAGUCACGGGGAACCGCAAGCAGGUAUUGAUCCGUGAACGUCUGAAUGGGGAAACCCGGCGGGUUAACAGCCCGUCACUAUUAACUGAAUCAAUAGGUUAAUAAGGGGAACGCGGGGAACUGAAACAUCUCAGUACCCGUAGGAAGAGAAAAUAAAGAAUGAUUUCCUAAGUAGCGGCGAGCGAACGGGAAAGAGGCCAAACCGAAGGGCUUGCUCUUCGGGGUUGUGGAUCAGCAAAAAGGACGGAAGACCUUAGCAGAAGAGGAUUGGAAAGUCCCGCCAGAGAGGGUAAAAGCCCCUUACGCGAAAAGGUCAAACGACGAGCUGACACCAGAGUACCGCAGGACACGAGAAAUCCGGUGGGAAGCCGGGAGGACCACCUCCCAAGCCUAAAUACGAAUUGGUGACCGAUAGCGCAUAGUACCGUGAGGGAAAGGUGAAAAGAACCCCGGGAGGGGAGUGAAAAAGAACCUGAAACCCUGUGUUUACAAGCAGUGAAAGUGCAAGAAAGGCACGAUCACGUACUUUUUGUAGAACGGACCGGCGAGUUACGUUAUGCAGCAAGGUUAAGAACUGAAGGUUCGGAGCCGAAGCGAAAGCGAGUCUGAAUAGGGCGAUAGUUGCAUGACGUAGACCCGAAACCGGGUGACCUAUCCAUGAGCAGGUUGAAGUGGAGGUAAAGCUCCAUGGAGGACCGAACCAGACGUCUGUUGAAAAAGGCGGGGAUGACUUGUGGAUAGGGGAGAAAUUCCAAUCGAACCCGGAGAUAGCUGGUUCUCCUCGAAAUAGCUUUAGGGCUAGCCUCAUGGAUCAUUGGUGGGGGUAGAGCACUGAAUGUGCGCGGGGGCCACAAAGCCUACCAAACGCUAUCAAACUACGAAUACCAUACAAUGCAGACCAUGGGAGUCAGUCCGCGAGAGAUAAGUUCCGCGGGCAAAAGGGGAACACCCCAGAUCAACCGCUAAGGUCCCCAAGUUCACGUUAAGUGGAGAAGGAUGUGGAAUUGCACAGACAACCAGGAUGUUGGCUCAGAAGCAGCCACACAUUUAAAGAGUGCGUAAUAGCUCACUGGUCGAGUGAUUGUGCGCCGAAGAUGUCCGGGGCUAAACGUGACACCGAAGCGAUGGGUGCGUCUGAAGAAGAUGCGCGGUAGAGGAGCAAUGUGCAGAGGCAGAAGCCGUAUCGAGAGGCACGGUGGACACUGCACAAGAGAGAAUGCCGGUAUGAGUAGCGAGAGGCAUGCGAGAAACAUGCCCGUCGAAAGCCCAAGGUUUCCUGGGGAAGGUUCAUCCGCCCAGGGUAAGUCGGGGCCUAAGCCGAGGACGGAAGUCGUAGGCGAUGGACAGCAGGUGUAGAUUCCUGCACUACCGAUGGAAUGAAGCAGUGACACAGAAGGAUAACUCGAGCAGGGUGAUGGUCAACCCUGUGCAAGCAUCAAGGUUGGGUUGUAGUGAAGUACGCAACCCUAUAAGCUGAGAUGUGAUGCGGACCGAAAUUUCAGUAGGGAAGCGAGUGAGUUCACGCUGGCGAGAAAAGCUGCUAGUACAUCCAAAGGUACCCGUACCGGAAACCGACGCAGGUGGGCGAGGAGAGAAUCCUGAGACGAACGGGAGAACCCUUGUUAAGGAACUCGGCAAAAUGACCCCGUAACUUCGGGAUAAGGGGUGCCUGCGAGAGCAGGCCGCAGAGAAUAGUCACAAGCGACUGUUUAGCAAAAACACAGGUAUCUGCGAAAGCGAGAGCUGACGUAUAGGUGCUGACACCUGCCCGGUGCUGGAAGGUUAAGGGAACAUGUUAGAGCAAUCGAAGCAUCGAACCGAAGCCCCAGUAAACGGCGGCCGUAACUAUAACGGUCCUAAGGUAGCGAAAUUCCUUGUCGGGUAAGUUCCGACCCG